AGAGUUUGAUCAUGGCUCAGGAUGAACGCUGGCGGCGUGCUUAACACAUGCAAGUCGAACGAACCUUCGGGUUAGUGGCGGACGGGUGAGUAACGCGUGGGAAUCUGCCCUCAGGAGGGGGAUAACGACUGGAAACGGUCGCUAAUACCCCAUAUGCCGAGAGGUGAAAUGAAUUUCGCCUGAGGAUGAGCCCGCGUCUGAUUAGCUAGUUGGUGGGGUAAGAGCUCACCAAGGCGACGAUCAGUAGCUGGUCUGAGAGGAUGAUCAGCCACACUGGGACUGAGACACGGCCCAGACUCCUACGGGAGGCAGCAGUGGGGAAUUUUCCGCAAUGGGCGAAAGCCUGACGGAGCAACGCCGCGUGAGGGAUGAAGGCCUCUGGGCUGUAAACCUCUUUUCUCAAGGAAGAAGAUCUGACGGUACUUGAGGAAUAAGCCACGGCUAAUUCCGUGCCAGCAGCCGCGGUAAUACGGGAGUGGCAAGCGUUAUCCGGAAUCAUUGGGCGUAAAGCGUCCGCAGUGGCUUUGUAAGUCUGCCGUUAAAGCGUGGAGCUUAACUCCAUUUCAGCGGUGGAAACUACAAAGCUUGAGUGUGGUAGGGGCAGAGGGAAUUCCCAGUGUAGCGGUGAAAUGCGUAGAUAUCGGGAAGAACACCAGUGGCGAAGGCGCUCUGCUGGGCCAUAACUGACACUCAUGGACGAAAGCCAGGGGAGCGAAAGGGAUUAGAUACCCCUGUAGUCCUGGCCGUAAACGAUGAACACUAGGCGUCGGGGGAAUCGACCCCCUCGGUGUCGUAGCCAACGCGUUAAGUGUUCCGCCUGGGGAGUACGCACGCAAGUGUGAAACUCAAAGGAAUUGACGGGGGCCCGCACAAGCGGUGGAGUAUGUGGUUUAAUUCGAUGCAACGCGAAGAACCUUACCAGGGUUUGACAUCCUGCGAACCCCUGAGAAAUCGGGGGGUGCCUUCGGGAACGCAGUGACAGGUGGUGCAUGGCUGUCGUCAGCUCGUGUCGUGAGAUGUUGGGUUAAGUCCCGCAACGAGCGCAACCCACGUCUUUAGUUGCCAGCAUUCAGUUGGGCACUCUAGAGAGACCGCCGGUGAUAAACCGGAGGAAGGUGUGGAUGACGUCAAGUCAUCAUGCCCCUUACAUCCUGGGCUACACACGUACUACAAUGCUACGGACAAAGGGCAGCAAACUCGCGAGAGCAAGCAAAUCCCAUAAACCGUGGCUCAGUUCAGAUCGUAGGCUGCAACUCGCCUACGUGAAGGAGGAAUCGCUAGUAAUCGCAGGUCAGCAUACUGCGGUGAAUACGUUCCCGGGCCUUGUACACACCGCCCGUCACACCAUGGAAGUUAGCCACGCCCGAAGUCGUUACUCCAACCCUUGUGGAGGAGGAUGCCGAAGGUGGGGCUGAUGACUGGGGUGAAGUCGUAACAAGGUAACC
rnacentral:rRNA from 1 species